rnacentral:rRNA from 1 species
GACGAACGCUGGCGGCGUGCUUAACACAUGCAAGUCGAACGCUGAAGCCCUUCGGGGUGGAUGAGUGGCGAACGGGUGAGUAACACGUGGGUAAUCUGCCCUGCACUCUGGGAUAAGCCUUGGAAACGGGGUCUAAUACCGGAUAGGACACAUCGCCGCAUGGUGUGUGUGUGGAAAGUUCCGGCGGUGCAGGUUGAGCCCGCGGCCUAUCAGCUUGUUGGGGGGGUGAUGGCCUACCAAGGCGACGACGGGUAGCCGGCCUGAGAGGGUGACCGGACACACUGGGACUGAGACACGGCCUAGACUCCUACGGGAGGCAGCAGUGGGGAAUCUUGCGCAAUGGGCGAAAGCCUGACGCAGCAACGCCGCGUGGGGGAUGACGGCCUUCGGGUUGUAAACCUCUUUCGACCGGGACGAAGGAUUCGUUUGACGGUACCGGUAGAAGAAGCACCGGCUAACUACGUGCCAGCAGCCGCCGUAA